rnacentral:tRNA from 1 species
AGGCGUGUAGCUCAGUGGCAGAGCGCUGCUGCAACAUGGCAGAGGUCGGGGGUUCAAUUCCUUCCCGCGCCUACCA